rnacentral:rRNA from 1 species
AUGGGAGACCGGGUUCUCUUUUGGCGAGACCGAUGGAUACAUGGAUUUGCCGUAGCUGAUGUCGCUCCUUUGUUGCAAGACACCGUGCAGCCGAGGGUGGCAAAUACAAGGACUGUGCAACAGGCGCUGACCAAUGGUAGAUGGCAAGGGGACUGUCAGGUUACUUCCUUCAUGGCGCAAUUGCAGUUUGUGCAUCUUUGCCAUGCGAUCACAACGGUGGAGAGAAAUCAGGACCAAGAGGACGGGUUCACCUGGACUUGCACGGCUACGGGUCAGUACUCUGCUCGCGCUAUCUAUGCCAGCUUAUGCUCUGGACUGCCAAGAUCGCCUAUGAGCGCGUGUGUGUGGAGGAGCUGGGCCCCGCUUAAGUGCAAGAUUUUCGCUUGGCUAGCGAUGCAGUAUAGGCUCUGGACUUCCGACCGCCGCGCAAGACACGGCCUGCAGGAUGAGCCAUCAGCUUGCUACACGUGUUUGCAAGAUGAGGACAACGUAGAUCACAUUCUGUCGACAUGCGGAUAUGCGCGUGAGGUUUGGUUCCUCAUUUGCGACACGCUCCACAUCAACGUGCAGGACCGUCUACCUGAUGAUACGACCCUUGAAUGA